rnacentral:lncRNA from 1 species
UUUUUCCCAGAUACCUGUGGGCUACAUGAAUACUUCUGUGAUUGUAGGUUGGAUUUGCCAUCUGGAUCUAGAUGCCUGCUCUGUACCAGCGCCACCUGCAGAAAUGAAGCUAUGGCAUUUUAUUGAUGUCAUCUUCAUCAGUGGACCUGGCCAAGACUUUGUGUCAUACACCGCCACAACUAAAACCCAGAGCUUAGGCACCACCUUCUUGAUCCUGAUAAGAACCUGAUGUGGACCAAUGAUUCUGAAACCAUCCUUAGCCCGUGUUCAUCAUCAUCUAGUAUAAGCCAAGAAAGUACCCACCACUUUCUGGAGAAAGAGGUGACCUUAUAUGCCAUCCAUGUACUUUGGUCCACUGAAGACACUGUGGAAGCCAAAAGGUGGACCUAAACCAUUCCCUCAACAGGUCUGUAGCAGUCUCCAGUGUUCAGAGCAAUGGAGUCCAGAUGAGAAGCAAGUCCCUGUGCAUCUAUGGCUCACCAGGAUCCAGCUCUUGAAGGGUGACGACCACAAUUCCACCUGA